rnacentral:rRNA from 1 species
UACGGAGGGUGCAAGCAUUAAUCGGAUUUACUGGGUGUAAAGAGUGCGUAGGCGGACAGGCAAGUCAGAUGUGAAAUUCCGUUGCUUAACAUCGGAGCUGCAUUUGAUACUACCUGUCUUGAGGAUAGACGGAGAAAACGGAAUUCCACGUGUAGCGGUGAAAUGCGUAGAUAUGUGGAAGAACACCUGUGGCGUAAGCGGUUUUCUAAUUUAUUCCUGACGCUGAGGUACGAGAGCAAGGGGAGCAAAC